rnacentral:rRNA from 1 species
ACUCCUACGGGAGGCAGCAGUGGGGAAUAUUGCACAAUGGGCGCAAGCCUGAUGCAGCCAUGCCGCGUGUAUGAAGAAGGCCUUCGGGUUGUAAAGUACUUUCAGCAGUGAGGAAGGCGGAGUCGUUAAUAGCGGCCUCGUUUGACGUUAGCUGCAGAAGAAGCACCGGCUAACUCCGUGCCAGCAGCCGCGGUAAUACGGAGGGUGCGAGCGUUAAUCGGAAUUACUGGGCGUAAAGCGCAUGCAGGUGGUUUGUUAAGUCAGAUGUGAAAGCCCGGGGCUCAACCUCGGAAUUGCAUUUGAAACUGGCAGACUAGAGUACUGUAGAGGGGGGUAGAAUUUCAGGUGUAGCGGUGAAAUGCGUAGAGAUCUGAAGGAAUACCGGUGGCGAAGGCGGCCCCCUGGACAGAUACUGACACUCAGAUGCGAAAGCGUGGGGAGCAAACAGGAUUAGAUACCCUGGUA